rnacentral:rRNA from 1 species
UACGAAGGGGGCUAGCGUUGCUCGGAAUUACUGGGCGUAAAGGGCGCGUAGGCGGACAGUUUAGUCAGAGGUGAAAGCCCAGGGCUCAACCUUGGAAUAGCCUUUGAUACUGGCUGUCUUGAGUUCGGGAGAGGUGAGUGGAAUACCGAGUGUAGAGGUGAAAUUCGUAGAUAUUCGGCGGAACACCAGUGGCGAAGGCGACUCACUGGCCCGAUACUGACGCUGAGGCGCGAAAGCGUGGGGAGCAAACAGG